rnacentral:lncRNA from 1 species
UGCUGUAAAUAACCACAACCAAGGGCUCACUAACCUCCAAUUCAAACUCACAAUCUAUAUAUGACCAGCAAAGAUCAGAAAUAUAGUGUCUAAUUAACAUCUUAGGGCUUUAAUCAUGACAAAACCACACAUGUUUAACCUAAUUUACAUCAAACUGUAAACUAAAACUACAAUACUCAUUCUAAGUAAAAAAAAUUACCAUUUGAUUUUAGAUCUCUUAGAGUCUAGAGUCUCCACAAAGAUGUUUUCGAAUUACCUCGCCUGCAUCCGGAGGAGGAGGAAAGUGAAAAUCGAUCCGAGUAAUCUCAUUAUAGCUUGCUUCAAACUGAAUCAUACGCUUAACUUGUGCUACGGAGGAGAGUAGGGGCAUGUUUGGGGUUUUGUGGAAGUUGGAAUUGGCGGUGGUCGUGGUCGUGGUCGUGGCGGAGACACGGUGGAGAUCUCCUGAACUUGGUGGGGGUUAAUUUAGGUUUUGUGGAGGUAGGGAAUUUUGGGGAAGAAUGAAAUGAUUAGUC